GUGCUGGCUGGUAUCUGCUAUGGUGUUGCCAAGGUGUUGCUAAGUGGUUGCUAAGGUGUUGCUAUGGUAUCCGGGGUGGUUGCUAAGGUGUUGCUAGGUGGUUGCUAUGGUGUUGCUAGGCGGUUGCUAAGGUGUUGCUAUGGUAUCCGGGGUGGUUGCUAAGGUGUUGCUAGGUGGUUGCUAGGUGGUUGCUAAGGUGUUGCUAGGCGGUUGCUAAGGUGUUGCUAUGGUAUCCGCGGUGGUUGCUAAGGUGUUCCUAGGUGGUUGCUAGGUGGUUGCUAGGGUGUUGCUAGGCGGUUGCUAAGGUGUUGCUAUGGUAUCCGGGGUGGUUGCUAAGGUGUUGCUAGGUGGUUGCUAGGUGGUUGCUAGGGUGUUGCUAGGCGGUUGCUAAGGUGUUGCUAUGGUAUCCGGGGUGGUUGCUAAGGGGUUGCUAGGUGGUUGCAAGGUGGUUGCUAAGGUGUUGCUAGGCGGUUGCUAAGGUGUUGCUAUGGUGUCUAGGGUGGUUGCUAAGGUGUUGCUAGGUGGUUGCUAAGAUGUUGCUAUGGUAUCUGGGGUGGUUGCUAAGGUGUUGCUAGGUGUAUCUAACUGGUCGCUAGGCAGUUGCUACCAUUUCUAAAGUGGUUGCUAAGCAGUUGCUAGGCAGUUGCUAACGUUUUCCAGGUGGUUGCUAAGGUGUUGCUAUCUGGUUGCUAGGCAGUUGCUAACGUAUUACACAUGGUUGCUAAGUGGUUGCUAGGCAGUUGCUAAUGUUUUCCAGGUGGUUGCUAAGGUGUAUCUAACUGGUUCCUAGGCAGUAGUAGAUAAAAAGAAAGAGUGUUAAAUGUAGAAGUACAGAAAAAGGGAGAGCCUGAAAUAGAGAAGUAGAGAGAAAAUCAGCGUGAGAAGUAGAGAAAGAACACCCGAGAAUGUGAGAAAAAGAGUGACAAGUAGAGAGAAAUAUUGAGCGAGAGAAAGAGAAUUAGGGAAAAAGAGAGAUCGAGAAAUAAAGAAGUAGAGAAAGAAAAAGGAUGUAGUAGAGAGAUAGAUAGAAAGAGAAAGCAAGACAGAAAAGCAGAGUGAAAGAGAAGUAGAGAGAAGAGCGAGAAAUAAAGAGAGAGUAAGAGAGAAAUAGAGAAAUAGAAAAGUAGAAAGAAAGACAUAGAAAAGUAGAGAGAGUGAGAAAGAGAGAGUGAGAAAUAGAGAAGUAGAGAGAGAGUGAGAAAGAGAGAGUGAGAAAUAGAGAAGUAGAGAGAGUGAGAAAUAGAGACGUAGAGAGAGAGUGAGAAAGAGAGUGAGAAAUAGAGAAGUAGAGAGAGUGAGAAAUAGAGACGUAGAAAAGAGUGAGAAAGAGAGAGUGAGAAAUAGAGAAGUAGAGAGAGAGUGAGAAAUAGAGACGUAGAGAGAGAGUGAGAAAUAGAGAAGUAGAGAGCAAAAGAGAGAGUGAGAAGUAGAGAGCAAAAGAAAGAGUGAGACAGAGAAGUAGAGAGCAAACGAGAGAGUGAGAAGUAGAGAAGUAGAGAGCAAAAGAAAGAGUGAGAAAUAGAGAAGUAGAGAGAGAGUGGGAAAGAUAGAGUGAGAAUUAGAGAAGUAGAGAGAGAGUGAGAAAGAGAGAGUGAGAUAGAGAAGUAGAGAGAGAGUGAGAAAUAGAGACGUAGAGAGAGUGAGAAAUAGAGUGAGAUAGAGAAGUAGAGAGAGAGUGAGAAAUAGAGUGAGAAAUAGAGACGUAGAGAGAGAGUAAGAAAGAGUGAGAAAUAGAGGAGUAGAGAGCAAAAGAGAGUGAGAAAUAGAGAAGUAGAGAGCAAAAGAGAGAGUGAGAAGUAGAGAAGUAGAGAGCAAAAGAAAGAGUGAGAAAUAUAGAAAUAGAGAGAGAGUGGGAAAGAGAGUGAGAAUUAGAGAAGUAGAGAGCGAAAGAGAGAGUGAGAAAGAGAGAGUGGUUGCUAAGCAGUUAAUAGGUGGUUGCUAAACCCUGGCUGGGGUGCCGGGGUGUCCAAACUUUUGACUGAUAGCUGCUCCAUACAGCAGCUCCUCCAUACACUCACAGUACUGGAGGAGCAGGGGAGAGAAGGGGUUCCGUGCGCAGAGCUGCUCGUGUGCGAGAUGGAACUCUGGGCCCCCCAUUCAUUUCUAUGGGAAAACUUCGUACGAAAAUUGUACGAAAACCGUACGUCGUAUCGCUUCGCAACCUGCUAUUAAUUUAAAGAUCU